rnacentral:rRNA from 1 species
UACGUAGGGAGCGAGCGUUGUCCGAAGUUACUGGGCGUAAAGCGCGCGUAGGCGGGGAAUUAAGUGAGAAGUGAAAGGCUGGGGCUCAACCCCAUGCAGUGCUCCUCAUACUGGUUUUCUUGAGUGAGGUAGAGAGAAGUGGAAUGGCUGGUGUAGCGGUGAAAUGCGUAGAUAUCAGUCGGAACACCUGUGGCGAAGGCGGCUUCUUGGGCCUUUACUGACGCUGAGGCGCGAAAGCUAGGGUAGCGAACGGG